rnacentral:lncRNA from 1 species
AUGAGCUUGAAGGAUGACAUAAGGGAGGCCCAGAGAGAUCUCGCAGCUGUGAUGUCGAUGCUCAUCCUUCAAGGUCUUGGAAGUAUGGUGUCGGCUUCCCGCCGCCGACAACCCCCACUCGUCCAUCAGGGCACCGCGCGCUGCGCGCGUAACCCCCACAUCGCCCUCCUCUGCCUGCAGGUCUCCUGGGCCCUGGGAGCUCUCGGUGGGCAGCAAGGAGGUCUUGCCCACCUCUGUCAUCAGUGCCAGCGCAGAGCAGCCACACAGCAUGGCUCAGAGGAAGCUACAGCUCAGCUAUGUGCUUAUUCAAAACACCUUGUCAAGUACUGUGAUGGGGUACUUGGGACUGCCCGGCUGGGUUGCCCUCGUGUCUCCCAGGAGGACUGUUUUAUACCUUCUGUCCUUUCCCGAAACACCCCCCGCCCCCCCGCACAUGCUGGACACAGUAUCGGGGUACAGAGAGCCCCUCGGUCCUUACAGGGCAGGGCACACCUGCUCCGUGGCAAUUAUCGGCACCUAUGUGCUGCCCAGGAGUCCUCCGGUGCCCCCGCUCCAGGUUGGCUGACACUUCCUGGGGAGGUAUCGCCCCCUGGAGGAGCCCAGCUGCCAGGAGCUGGUGUAUCAAUACCCCAGCUCCCUCCACCCUGGGUGGAUAGAGGCCUCAUGCUCCACACUGGCUCCCUUGAUGAUGUGGCUUUAACAGAGUCACUCCAGUUCUCCCUGCCUACCCUCCUGCCUGCCCCUCCUUCCUCCGAGAGACCGUUAGAGGACACACACCCUCUCCCCCUCGAACGCAUCCUUUCUUAGGACUUCUUUAGGGCCAGGGAUAGCCCUGCUCUGACACCAACAACCUCCCCCCAUCUCCUGCGUUGUUCCAGGCGGCAUUCAAAUGAUUUGCCCGAGAGUGCGAUAAAUAGAAACCACGAAUACACUUUCGAAGGUUAAAAACACCACGCACAUAGGAUGCAUCUUUAUUUGUAAUGAGUGCCAAAGAGAUGUGGUGUCUCUGUGUUCCUGAAAACAGCGUAUCCUCUAAAGAUUUGUGAUUGUUUUUCCUGCAAUCGUGUUUAUGCUAUCACAGUCAACAAUCUUUGCUUUGUAGAAAAUAUGAGGGUUAGCUUUAACUUGGCCUCAAUUUGAAUCAUAAUAAAUUCUGACUGAACUCUUAAAAAAAAAAAAAA